rnacentral:rRNA from 1 species
CCUGAUCCAGCCAUGCCGCGUGUCUGAAGAAGGCCUUCGGGUUGUAAAGGACUUUUGUCCGGGAGCAAAUACGCAGUGCUAAUAACGCUGCGGGCUGAGAGUACCGGAAGAAUAAGCACCGGCUAACUACGUGCCAGCAGCCGCGGUAAUACGUAGGGUGCAAGCUUAAUCGGAAUUACUGGGCGUAAAGCGUGCGCGAGGCGGUUGACAAGCCUAGAUGUGAAAGCCCCGAGCUCAACUUGGGAACUGCGUUUGGAACUGUUUGACUAGAGUGCGUCAGAGGGGGGUGGAAUUCGCGUGUAGCAGUGAAAUGCGUAGAGAUGCGGAGGAACACUACGCAUGGCGAAGGCAGCCCCCUGGGAAUGACACUGACGCUCAUGCACGAAAGCGUGGGGAGCAAACAGAGAUUAGAUACCCGGUAGUCCACGCCCUAAACGAUGUCAAUUAGCUGUUGGGGGUUAGAAUCCUUGGUGAGCGUAGCCUAACGCGUGAAAUUGACCGCCUGGUUGGAGUACGGCCGCAAGGUUAAAACUCAAAGGAAUUGACGGGGGCCCGCACAAGCGGAAUGGAUGAUGUGGAUUAAUUCGAUGCAACGCGAAAAACCUUACCUGCUCUUGACAUGUACGGAACUUGCCAGAGAUGGCUUGGUGCCCGAAAGGGAGCCGUAACACAGGUGCUGCAUGGCUGUCGUAGCUCGUGUCGUGAGAUGUUGGGGGUUAAGUCCCGCAACGAGCGCAACCCUUGUCAUUAGUUGCCAUCAUUAAGUUGGGCACUCUAAUGAGACUGCCGGUGACAACCGGAGGAAGGUGGGGAUGACGUCAAGUCCUCAUGGCCCUUAUGAGCAGGGCUUCACACGUCAUACAAUGGUCGGUACAGAGGGUUGCCAAGCCGCGAGGUGGAGCUAAUCUCUUAAAACCGAUCGUAGUCCGGAUUGGAGUCUGCAACUCGACUCCAUGAAGUCGGAAUCGCUAGUAAUCGCAGGUCAGCAUACUGCGGUGAAUACGUUCCCGGGCCUUGUACACACCGCCCGUCACACCAUGGGAGUGGAAUCCGCCAGAAGUGGGUAGGGUAACCGUAAGGAGCCCGCUACCACGGUA